GUUUCAGUUCUUAUUUCUGAUACUUGACUUCAACUGAUCAAUGCAAAUAUCUCCAAACCAGGAUGAAAAGAAGACGGCCUCUGUUGUAGACAGCUGUCCCAAGACUCCUGACCAGACCUGUAUUCUCACCUUAUAUCUCCUCAUAUGAAUCUUCCAGUGUGUCGUCUCUGCUAAAGCACGUGAAACAGCAGGCGAAUGUCUUAAGUGAUCCUACAUCCGGUCUUCAUUUGUUUGCUGGGCUCUCUUCAGCUAAAAGUGAUCCAUAUUCCUUGAACCCUGGUCACUAAGGAAGCAGAAGGCAGAAAGCAGUUUGCACUUGAAAUUUCUCCGUGGUGUCUCAGGCUUGGUGCUCAGGCCUGUCUCAAGCUCAGGCACUGAGCUAAAGGAAAGCUCUCCUGAGUGAAAAUGGAGCUCCUGCCCUGCCGCCACUUCUUCCUUUCUCCCGAUCAUGCUUUGGUAUCUUUGGAACCAAAACCUCCUGCCGUAUGGCCAGGGGAAGAGGCCGUGGUGGAGAGGAGCAGAGAGAACCUUUCGUCCUGCAAGUGGGUGUUUUGUUUGGAGGAGAACUGGCUGGCUGUCACCUGAAGAAUCACCUGCAAGCCCCGGGAGCUGCCGCGGGGAUACUGAACAGUGGGAACCACUGCUCUGUCGGAUUUGAGGGCAUCUGCAGGUGUUGCAAUGGGGUACUGUGUUGUGUUUCAAAAUAAU
rnacentral:lncRNA from 1 species